rnacentral:rRNA from 1 species
AACGAACGCUGGCGGCAGGCUUAACACAUGCAAGUCGAGCGAGACCUCCGGGUCUAGCGGCGGAAGGGUGAGUAACGCGUGGGAACGUGCCCUUCUCUACGGAAUAGCCCCGGGAAACUGGGAGUAAUACCGCAUACGCCCUUUGGGGGAAAGAUUUAUCGGAGAAGGAUCGGCCCGCGUUGGAUUAGGUAGUUGGUGGGGUAAUGGCCCACCAAGCCGACGAUCCAUAGCUGGUUUGAGAGGAUGAUCAGCCACACUGGGACUGAGACACGGCCCAGACUCCUACGGGAGGCAGCAGUGGGGAAUCUUAGACAAUGGGGGCAACCCUGAUCGAGCCAUGCCGGGUAAGUGAUGAAGGCCUUAGGGUUGUAAAGCUCUUUCAGCUGGGAAGAUAAUGACGGUACCAGCAGAAGAAGCCCCGGCUAACUCCGUG